CUUUAAUAUUCUCUUUGUUGGGUCAAACAGUUACAAUUCCUUUAACCUUUCUUUUGUUGUUCUUGUCUGGAACACUCAUAGGACGUCAUGGUUUUUAAGGAAACUGAUGUUUGCAAAACUAUUACACUGUACUACCAAAGGGUUCAGGGUAAGACAAAUAAGGCAAAUAGCUUCUCACUAUUAAGCAUUUGGGUUUUAUUUAUUUAAGGGUGCUGUAUUGAGGGUCAAAUAGAACUAUCUUAAAACAGCACAUUAUUAUUCAUAACGGUUGGCUAAUAGGUCAGGUUACCUGAGGAAGAAGCCUUCGUUGUAAAAACAAAAAUUCACACUCUCUCAAAUCACGUAUCGCUGAAAAUAGGAAUGAAUUCAUAAGAAACACUUAUUUAUAUUCCUAUACAGAAACAAAGAAUUAAAAGCUACAAAUUGUUAACUCCAAUAAAGUGGAAAAUCAACAAACUGAAGAAAUGUUCUUUUCCUUCCUCCUGUUUUAAAGUUUUAAAGUUUUCUCUUUAUCACUCCAGAUAUUCCCCUCUUCAGACUCCAUGGCUUAGCACUAAAGCACAGUCGGAAAAACAUGGUCAAAUUUGGUUCACAGCACCUGCCCAGGACCUACUUUCUUCCUUACCUAUGCUACCCAGAGGCGAAACAGCAAAUCAGCACCAGACAGCCACCUAGCUUCAAGUUUCCAGUGCAAUGAAAGCUUCAAGCAUGUGGAGAGCAAAACAACAGGACAUCUCACCCAAAGAGAUCAACCUCUGCAGAAGGCAAAGGUUUCCAAAAUAGGCAACCUUCUACCUGGAUCAAUUUCCACAGUAGGCGAUGGAGCCAAUGAAGUCAUGGAGAAGUUAGUUUCCACCCAGUUAUUCCUCUCCUGGCUCCAUCUUUGCUUCAAAAUUUCUUAUUGAAAAUGAGUCCUAGCUGAGCAUAGAGAAAGCACGUCAAAGCAGAUUCUGUCUGUAUUAAGACCUAUACACACUGCUAGUAAGAUUCCACUAUUUAGUGGGACGCAUACCUCUGUCACUUAAAGAUGUGUGACUUGAGCAAAUCACUAAAUCUCCAUUUUGCCAUCUGUAAAAUGGGUAAAAUAUUACUUGUCUACACACCUUGCAGGAUUUGGGAGAGAAACAAAAAAAAAAAUGAAGUUUGUAAAAGUAAUCUGGAAUGAUAAAAAUCAAACAAAAAUAAAAUAAAAUCAUUUUUCUCU
rnacentral:lncRNA from 1 species